rnacentral:lncRNA from 1 species
GCCCUGUCCUGCGCCCGGAGGGUGAGGACAGCAGGGCCAGGGCGGUGGGGAGGCCCUGAGUUCUUCACACUGCUCUGUCACAGGGGUCACCAGGUCUGCCCGGCCCUGUUGGACCUAAAGGAGAGCCUGGACCCAUGGGGGCUCCUGGACAGGCUGUAGUCGGGCUCCCUGGAGCAAAGGGAGAGAAGGGAGUGCCCGGAGGCCUCGCGGGAGACCUGGUGGGAGAGCCGGUGAGUGUGGAGCCCCCGACAGCACUGUUCACUCAUCCUCGUGACCCUCGGCUUCCAUAAUACGUGUCACAUUUGACCCCGGGCCUCAUGCCUCCUUCCUUGAGUGUCAUCUUUCUAUGACCCUAAUGCCCAUGUUGCCGCCUGUCCCCUGUCUCUACAGGGGGCCAAAGGUGACCGAGGACUUCCAGGGCCUCGGGGUGAGAAGGUGAGGUGGGCCUGGCCCAAGGGCCAGAGGGCUGGGUCAAGGGGGGGCCAGGUUGGGUGACUAGACCCCCUUACCGCCCUUUCUGUGCAGGGUGAAGCUGGCCGUGCAGGGGAGCCUGGAGACCCUGGGGAAGAUGUGAGUCUGGGGUCUGGGCAAGUCUGACCUUGGGAGGAGGAAUGCAGCUGUGGACCAGAGGCAC